rnacentral:rRNA from 1 species
UACGUAGGUGGCAAGCGUUGUCCGGAAUUAUUGGGCGUAAAGCGCGCGCAGGCGGUUUCUUAAGUCUGAUGUGAAAGCCCACGGCUUAACCGUGGAAGGUCAUUGGAAACUGGGAGACUUGAGUGCAGAAGAGAAGAGCGGAAUUCCACGUGUAGCGGUGAAAUGCGUAGAGAUGUGGAGGAACACCAGUGGCGAAGGCGGCUCUUUGGUCUGUAACUGACGCUGAGGCGCGAAAGCGUGGGGGAUCAAACAGG